rnacentral:rRNA from 1 species
CAGCAGCCGCGGUAAUACAGAGGGUGCAAGCGUUAAUCGGAAUUACUGGGCGUAAAGCGCGCGUAGGUGGUUUGUUAAGUUGGAUGUGAAAGCCCCGGGCUCAACCUGGGAACUGCAUCCAAAACUGGCAAGCUAGAGUACGGUAGAGGGUGGUGGAAUUUCCUGUGUAGCGGUGAAAUGCGUAGAUAUAGGAAGGAACACCAGUGGCGAAGGCGACCACCUGGACUGAUACUGACACUGAGGUGCGAAAGUGUGGGGAGCAAACAGGAUUAGAUACCCCCGUAGUCCCUGUCUCUUAUAC